rnacentral:rRNA from 1 species
UACGAAGGGUGCAAGCGUUAAUCGGAAUUACUGGGCGUAAAGCGUGCGUAGGCGGUUUCUUAAGUCUGCUGUGAAAUCCCCGGGCUCAACCUGGGAAUGGCAGUGGAUACUGGGAGGCUAGAGUGUGUCAGAGGAUGGUGGAAUUCCCGGUGUAGCGGUGAAAUGCGUAGAGAUCGGGAGGAACAUCAGUGGCGAAGGCGGCCAUCUGGGACAACACUGACGCUGAGGCACGAAAGCGUGGGGAGCAAACAGG